rnacentral:lncRNA from 1 species
AGAGGUGCAUUGUCACUUAGGCAUCAAGCCACACAUACAAGCUUAUUAGAUAUACAUUUUCACAGAAUCAACAUGUCACACAUACAUAGCUUACAUUUUAUUUCACAUUUCCAUCGCAUUGAAGGGUAUUAGCAUAAAAGUAACAAGCAUAUAAACAUACAUGCAUAGACAAAUAGAAACACUCAAAGAGUUCAUAGGGUACUCACAGAACCCUCACAAGAUCCUUACAAAAUCACACAAAACACUCACGUAGCCUCACAGAGCCAUACCUUUUUGCAACUUCAAACAUCAAUCUGAGCUUCUUUUGGGUAAAUCGACAACCCCUAAAUGUUAAUCCACAGAAAACACAUCAAGGUCUGCUCAUCUAACUCAUUUUUCCUUCUACUUCAAACACUAAAAUCACAUAGAAAAGCUCUACCAGCUAAACAGAACUGCUCUCCGGCAGCUUAGAAUGCAAGGUCGGGAGACUUACCUUACAAUGGGCAUCUCAAGGUUGAUCCUCUCAUUCUAGGCUCAUCCUAAAGGAUGAGAGGAUUUUCCCCUCAGCUCACCCUUAUAUAGCUAUAGACUACUUCUUGGGAAAGGAAGGGAUCAGUUCUCUUCACUUACUCAGUCAACUAAAUAUUUUCCUUUGUUCCAGUGGAUGUUCGAUAUGUGUAUUAAUCCAUGUGAUUACCAGUUAAAUGCAAGACAGUUGUGAAUACUAGAGUAUGAAAAUACAUACGUGACUUAACCUUGGGUCUAAACUCAUCCACUAUCCAUAGUUAUUUCAUCAAAGCGUAUCUGGUGGCAUAACAAUUCACGCUUUAGCGCAUCACACCUUCUUAGCGGCGACCCCAUUAUUUGAGUCUCCUCCAUGCUUCGCUAGGCGUUCUUUCCUAUAUCAAUCAUGCAUCUAUGUUUACGUUAAGAGCAUUAGUGGGGCGGAUAACAUCUAUUUCAGAGUUUUCUCAUCUUAACUAGUUGUCGGCCUUAGAUCUAUUUCAGAGUUUUCUUAUCUUCUCUUAGACUUACUCCACCGAGGAGAGGAAGAGAGAGA